UACGUAGGGGGCUAGCGUUGUCCGGAAUCAUUGGGCGUAAAGAGCGUGUAGGCGGCUUGGUAAGUCCGCUGUGAAAGUCCAGGGCUCAACCCUGGAAUGCCAGUGGAUACUGUCAAGCUAGAGUCCGGAAGAGGCGAGUGGAAUUCUCGGUGUAGCGGUGAAAUGCGUAGAUAUCGAGAGGAACACCAGAGGUGAAGACGGGUUGCUGGGCCGACACUGACGCUGACAGCGCGAAAGCCAGGGGAGCAAACGGG
rnacentral:rRNA from 1 species